rnacentral:rRNA from 1 species
AACGGCGAGUGAAGCGGCAAAAGCUCAAAUUUGAAAUCCUGCGGGAAUUGUAAUUUGAAGGUUUCGUGGUCUGAGUCGGCCGCGCCCAAGUCCAUUGGAACAUGGCGCCUGGGAGGGUGAGAGCCCCGUCCGGCGCACGCCGACUCUUUGCACCGCGGCUCCGACGAGUCGAGUUGUUUGGGAAUGCAGCUCUAAGUGGGUGGUAAAUUCCAUCUAAAGCUAAAUAUUGGCGAGAGACCGAUAGCGAACAAGUACAGUGAUGGAAAGAUGAAAAGCACUUUGAAAAGAGAGUGAAACAGCACGUGAAAUUGUUGAAAGGGAAGGGCUUGCAAGCAGACACGGUUUUACCGGGCCAGCGUCGAAAAGGGGGGAGGAACAAGAACUCGAGAAUGUGGCGCGCACCUUCGGGUGCGCGUGUUAUAGCUCGUGUUGACGCCUCCAUCCUUUUUCGAGGCCUGCGAUUCUAGGACGCUGGCGUAAUGGUUGCAAGCCGC